CUUCUACCAUACAUUAUAUACUUUUAUUUUCUUUGUAUAUAAAGAAAAAAAACUUGUUUUAGGUAUUGGAGUGUCUACGCUUAAAUUUUUAUAUUAGCGAUUAAACUUGAUCUUACUACUUCUGGUAUUUUCACAUAUUCCCACAAACUAGGUUUUGUAUUUUGUUAGAGAACAGUCUUUCUGCCUUGAAUCUCAGAUACAUUUUUCAUUAGAUAGUAACCAGGCAUUCAACACUUUUUAAAGGUUCAAUAAUGCCACAAUUAAAAAAAAAAAAACAACCCAAAAACCCACAAUGUCCCCAGUUCAAAUCGUUAGCAAACUCAUCUGUCCCAUACUCAGAGAUAUCUGUGAAAUUUUAACAUUUAGAUACUGUGAUUUGGACAAAUUUCAGAAUGAGUCAUUCUAAGGAAUCCAUUCCUACAUACAUACACUAUGUCAUAUUCUGAGUAGUGCACAUUUAAUAAGCAUAUGAGCCGACUGUGUGCACGAGUGAAUCUUUGCAUCCAACAUUGUGUAAAACUCAAGCUAAGUGGGGGAGCGAACAUCAACUGAAAUGCUGCAGAAGGAAAGUGGUUCUAGAACAGUGGGUUUGAUUUCUCUUUAAAUCCUGAGUAAUGGCGAUUUGAAUGCCCAGUUGCUUUCUCUUUUUAUUCAAAUAGGCAUCCCAAAAAUUGGUUUUGAGACAAGAGACUGGCUAUGUAGCUUAGGCUAGCCUUGAACUUAAGAUCCUCUUGUCUCAGCCUCCCAAGUGCUAGAAUUACAGGCAUGUGUCACCACGCCAGCCCGAUAUCACAAGGUGUCGUCUACUGGCACUUUGCAAAGCACAAAAGCAAUUCUAAUUUUGUUAAUAAUCAGUUUGACAAGCACUAUAAUUUAUUGAGGGCCUAAUGUGCUCCAAAUCCAAAUCCCCAUUACAUGCGCUGCCUUGAUCACUACCAGGUCCUCUGAUAUCAUCCUCAGUUUAUGGGUGACAAUGACGGUGUUUGGGGAGCUCACAUGAACUUGCCUACACCUAUCUACCAAGUAGGUCAGUGGGAUACAAACUGCUUCCUUACUUGGAGGCCGUGCUCUCAUCCCCAUCUAAGCAUGGGGAAGCUUCACUGUUGGAAAAUACACAACAGGCUCUGCUGAAGGUACAGAGCCAGGCAGACUUGGGGCGACGACUCUGCACGGUAGGUAGGUUUUGCUCUCCCUUGCUGCAAACUCAAAAGCCUAUUUCUAAACACAAGAUGGAAGGCAUGGCUCUAUCGAGUAAGCCUUAAACUGUAAAGUCAUUAUAUCCUCAGACAGCCUGCUGUCUUGUUCAAGCCAUGGCAUGUUAAAUGAAUGCUGGCGAGCACAAAGAUAAUUAGCAAGAAAAUCAGGGAAAUUGGCAGAUGCUCCUCAAGCAGGAGAGGAGAAAAAAAAAAUCCCUGAAGCCUCUUUGGGCUUUUAAUCAAGUGUGUAAGGUACUUCUUCAGAAGAGCUACUGAAUAAUUCUAUUUGAGUCACACAAGUGAUUAGGCAAGGUAUGGGGCACCCAGAAGGGGAAGGUGCUAGUGCUGGAGGUUAGUGAGGGAGGGCAGGAGUCAGCACAGGAAUGUAGUCACCCAGCCACCCUGCCUGCCUGUGCAGGGGAGAGGCAGCACUGGGCUGAGCAGGAAAUGAGGUCCCUCAAUUUCCUGUGAUCAUCACUGUCUGUUAGUGACAGAAGGGGACGGAGCUGAAGGGUGGGGAAAUGGAGACAAGAAGGCAGCUUCAGAAAUGUCAAACGCUUCAGCCUCGCAGACGCUCAGAUUGAAAUAUUUGGCUGGAAAAUAUCAAAAGUCUAAUCAAUUAAGAGGCGUGACCCUGGAACAACCGGACUGUGUCACCCCAUCUGCGCCUCUGCAGAGCCAUGGCGGCCGAGGGGGUGCCUACGGGAUUCAAAACUGGGGCAGAGGCGCGCACCGCCAGAAGCCUUGGCUUGUGGAACCCAAACAAGGUCUUCCACUCAGCACCUCCCAUACUUUUCCCUUUAAGUAUCCAGAUUUGGGAAUGUACCCAAACGAAAGAUAGGGUGGCUUUUUUUUUUUUUAAAUACAUUCAAUAAAAACGACAUUUGGCACAAGAAGUAA